GCAGUUGUCAUUUUUAAGUACGUACCAGGAAUUUUACGUAUCAUCUCUGUUUUACAAAUAAAGAAAAUAAGUGCAGAGCAAUGAAAUAAUUUGUCCAAGGUCACAUAGCUAGGAAGAGGCCAAGCCAGGACUCAAGCCUAGUCAGGAUGGGCGAGCAUAUGCUCGGUAACAAACAACCAUCAGAUCUCAGCAGCUUAUAAUAACAAAGGCACAGCUCGUGCUAGAGGAGCACGGUUGGUUGGCUGUGGCUCUACUCAGUUUCAUCUUCAACCUUGAACCCAGGCUGACAGUGACGCCUCUGUUUGGAACCCUGCUUGCAGUUGUAUGGGAAAAGAGAGCAUGGCGAACCACAUACUGGCUUUGAACACUUCUACCUGACAGGAGGAACAAAAUGGCUUCAGUGCAGCUAACCAUAGUGUUAAACAACUAUGUCCCAUUUUGGGAGCUGCUGCAGCCAUUUUUCUGCCACAAGACUCAUUUAGAACCUGGAAGACCUGCAGACCCUCGACUGGAUGUUGAACUUUUUCGCCCUGCUAAUCUUGGUCUGGAGCAAAUGCUAAACCUUCGAAGCAGCACCACACAGUUCCUGGGUUAUAAAGGCUUUGUUCCUCAGAUGCUCAGGUCCCCAGAAGGUCAGCUCUCUGGGGCAGGCCAAGCCUGUAGCGUUCACUGGCUUCUCCACAAGCUUAUGAAUAAAGCUGAAACUGUGAACUGUUCAAAAAAGAAAAUAGGUGAUUUGAUUUACAACAAGUUAGUAAAGGAAAACAGUAAGAUUCGGGAACAUCUGCCUUCCAGCAGAAUAUUCUUUGUGUUUCUAAUAAAACCAGGAAGCCAAGUGGAUGGAAGAACUGAUUUGAGAUGUGUGAUGCUGAUCCUUGUGUUAUGUUGGCACAAAUAUGGGCAAUUAGGACACAACUUCACACAACAGUGGGGCAAGAAAGUGAAAUAAGGAAUAGAGGGAUAUCUAGCGAUAAUAGGGUUGAUUAUGUGACAGGCACAUUUAUGGCGAAGCAAAGAGGAAGGGAUUUGGCAUCAAUUAACAGACUUCCUGAGUUCAAACCUGACUCCCUUACUUGCUUAACUUAUCUAAGCGUCAGUUUCCCCAUCUGUGAAAUGAAGAGAGUAAUAUCAUAGGGUCUUUUUGGAGGCACCAAUAAAAUAAAACCUGUAAGACAGCACAGUCCUUGGUGCAUGGUUAGGAGUUAAAGUAAAAUUAAAAAUAAAAAAGUUAACAGUUGUAACUGAUGGCAGAGACACAAAUAUCCCAUUCAUCUAGCGUGUUUAGUUUGCGUCAGUGGUGUCAUGGGAUUGUGUAUAAACGCCCAAUUUUCUCUACCUGCCAUACAUCUCUGACAGGGCCACUCUUAUGAGGAAAAACACCUUUGAGAGAUGUCUCUUGAAUAGGAAUUUGCUUUAGUUAUAUCUUAACAUAAGCAAGAGGCUUUUUUGUUAAAAUAACUUACUUCACUGUUCUGGCCCACUGCCCUGAACAUUCCACUUUGUUUUGUGUGACAGUGGGUUUUAAGUCAGCCAGUGUACAAGGCCCCAGAAUUCUGUUACAUCUGGGUUCAGAAAACUAUUUACUUUCUUCUAUAGUUUUCUGAACUAAUCUUAUUUCUUGGUUGUCACAUCUCAUAACUCACAACUGCUAUGUAUUGAAUUUUGGCCUUUCUCUUUCCCCUUCACCAUAAAGCUACAUCCUUGAAAGACAGGCAGCCCUUUCUUUCUUUUUUUUUCCCCUUAAUUUUUCACUGCAAAACUAAUUCGCAUACUUUGUUGAUUUUUUUUUCAUCCAAAGGCAAAUAACACAGGUGUGUGUGUGUGUGUGUGUGUAUAUGUGUGUGUAUAUAGUUCCCCAACUAAAAAGGGGAAAUCCGCCAUUAACUUCCAUAAUUUCCUCACCUCCAUGCCACUUUACAGAGAUAAUUGAUGUUAACCAUAGGCCUGUGUUCUUCCAAACAGCUUUCCAUGUAUCUACAAACAUUCCUAUCCUAUAUGUUAGGGAGAAAUUUGUUGUUGAUUUGACAAAAAUAAAAUCAUUGUAUACACACUGUUCUGCAGCUUGCUUUUUUUCCUGUUUAACCACGUACCACGGACAUCUUCUCAUAGUGUUGUUGUUCCCAUUUUUUUGUAACGAGUUGUGUUCUGUAAGCAUAACUGUGUAUAGUUAUUAACUUAUCCCUUCAU
ensembl:lncRNA